rnacentral:tRNA from 1 species
GCCCUUUUAGUCUAAAGGUUAUGACCUUGCCUUUUCACGGCAAAAAUACGAGUUCAAUUCUCGUAAAGGGUA